CCCUCAUUCACACACCCUCAUUCACACACUAACACACUCACACUAACCCAUUCACACACUAACCCACUCGUUCACACACCCAUUCACACACUCAUCCACACAAUAACCCACCCAUUCAUGCACUAACCCACCCAUUCACACUCAUCCACACAAUAACCCACCCAUUCAUGCACUAACCCACUCAUUCACACACCAACUCACCCACUCAGUCAUGCACUAACUCACCCACUCAUUCACAUACUAACCCACUCGUUCACAAACCCACUCACACACUAACUCCCUCAUUCACACACUAACCCACUCAUUCACACACUAACUCACCCACUCGUUCACACACCAAAACACUGACCCAUUCACACACUAACUCGCCCACUCAUUCACACAAACUCACCCACUCGUUCACACACUAACUCACCCACUCAUUCACACUAACUCAUUCACACAUUGACCCACCCACUCAUUCAUACAUUCACACACUAACCCGACUCAUUCACACACUUACCCACUCAUUCACACACGAACUCACCCAUUCAUUCACACACUAACCCACUCGUUCACACACCCAUUCACAGU
rnacentral:lncRNA from 1 species